rnacentral:rRNA from 1 species
UACGGAGGGUGCAAGCGUUAUCCGGAUUCACUGGGUUUAAAGGGUGCGUAGGUGGGUCUGUAAGUCAGUGGUGAAAUCUCCAAGCUUAACUUGGAAACUGCCGUUGAUACUAUAGACCUUGAAUGCUGUGGAGGUGAGCGGAAUAUGUCAUGUAGCGGUGAAAUGCUUAGAUAUGACAUAGAACACCAAUUGCGAAGGCAGCUCACUACCCAGAUAUUGACUCUGAGGCACGAGAGCGUGGGGAUCAAACAGG